rnacentral:lncRNA from 1 species
UUCUCUCAAGUCCUUCAUCCUCCUCUUUUCCUCUCCUCUUCUUGAUCAUGUCUUUGUUGAUUGAUUUCCCAACUCAGAGCUUGUUGGUUGUGGCCGCCUCCACUUUUCAAAGGGGCUCUCCAUUUCUCCUCCUCCACUCAAAGAAACCAUCGAUAAUCAAUCCGCCUCCGCCAGAAGAAACAUUUUCUCCCUCCGUACGAAGGC